UACGUAGGGCGCAAGCGUUGUCCGGAAUUAUUGGGCGUAAAGAGCUCGUAGGCGGCCAGUUGCGUCUGCUGUGAAAUCCCGGGGCUCAACCCCGGGCGUGCAGUGGAUACGGGCUGGCUAGAGGCAGGCAGGGGAGAACGGAAUUCCCGGUGUAGCGGUGAAAUGCGCAGAUAUCGGGAGGAACACCGGUGGCGAAGGCGGUUCUCUGGGCCUGUACUGACGCUGAGGCACGAAAGCAUGGGGAGCAAAAGGG
rnacentral:rRNA from 1 species